rnacentral:rRNA from 1 species
CGCCUUGCCAGCCCGCUCAGAAACUCAAAGGAAGUUGACGGGGCCCGCACAAGCGGUGGAGUAUGUGGUUUAAUUCGAUGCAACGCGAAGAACCUUACCUGGUCUUGACAUCCCGGAGACCCUUAGGAAACUAGGGGGUGCUUCCAUCUGGAAGAAUCUGGAGACAGGUGCUGCAUGGCUGUCGUCAGCUCGUGUCGUGAGAUGUUGGGUUAAGUCCCGCAACGAGCGCAACCCUUGCCUUUAGUUGCCAGCAGUUCGGCUGGGCACUCUAAAGGGACUGCCGGUGUUAAACCGGAGGAAGUGGGGAUGACGUCAAGUCCUCAUGGCCUUUAUGACCAGGGCUACACACGUACUACAAUGGCCGAUACAAAGGGCAGCGACACUGCGAGGUGAAGCCAAUCCCGUAAAAUCGGUCUCAGUCCGGAUUGGAGUCUGCAACUCGACUCCAUGAAGUUGGAAUCGCUAGUAAUCGUGGAUCAGCAUGCCACGGUGAAUACGUUCCCGGGCCUU